AACGAACGCUGGCGGCAGGCUUAACACAUGCAAGUCGAACGCAUCGCAAGAUGAGUGGCAGACGGGUGAGUAACGCGUGGGAACAUACCCUUUUCUACGGAAUAGCUCUGGGAAACUGGAAUUAAUACCGUAUACGCCCUACGGGGGAAAGAUUUAUCGGGGAAGGAUUGGCCCGCGUUGGAUUAGCUAGUUGGUGGGGUAAAGGCCUACCAAGGCGACGAUCCAUAGCUGGUCUGAGAGGAUGAUCAGCCACAUUGGGACUGAGACACGGCCCAAACUCCUACGGGAGGCAGCAGCGGGGAAUAUUGGACAAUGGGCGCAAGCCUGAUCCAGCCAUGCCGCGUGAGUGAUGAAGGCCUUAGGGUUGUAAAGCUCUUUCACCGAUGAAGAUAAUGACGGUAGUCGGAGAAGAGGCCCCGGCUAACUUCGUGCCAGCCGCCGCCGCGG
rnacentral:rRNA from 1 species